CAUAAACUACUGCAGUAGCUCUUGAUGUUUUUCGUACACCUUCACCAGUGCUGAAGGCCACUCCUUGCUCAUCAUACUUCAAGGGCUCAGUAGAUACUUUUUGCAACUGCACAGCAAUUUCUUUGGAAAACUUUUUGAUAUAAUUCUCCUCGAUGUCACUGCAUGGCAACGUCAUCAGUUUUUCUAAGAGUCGAAUAAACCUUGAGUAAUCAUCAUCUGACAGUUUUUCUAACAACAUUCCUUCCAAUUCCGUCUUAGUCAGCCAUCUGCUGCCAACCAGGUUUUUUUUCUCCUUCUGCAGAGAAAAGCCCUGAGCAACCAGUUGGUCUUGAUGUUUCUGAACGUUUAGUAGUUUUUCAUAUGUUUCAUGCAUUAAUGAGUAAUACGACUGCUUGCCAGUGUAAAAGAGAAAGUGAAAUGGACGGCCAUCUUCUCCCCACUGGAUUUCUUCAUCAUUGGCCUGGCUCGCUUGUCGAAUAAGCCCGAAGGAAAGAGAUAGGCAAUAGCUCUAUCAAUAUCCUCUUGGGUAAAAGUUUCUGGAUCUUCUCCCAUCAUGUUGGCUAAAUGUCUCUUUCCUAGGUCGAACUCUUCAAUUUGUUUCUUAAUAAAUGCCUCCGUGUAUUUUUCAGGUCCGGAGGCUGCUACAUUUUUCCUCCAUGCAGCUGUGGUAGUAUAGAUUAGCCUCAAUGUCUGAGCGCUAGGCCCACCCGACGCCGCCGCGCUCCACCGGCCGCCCAGCCGCAGCACGCGCCCCGCUGCCACCACCGCCAUGCCCACCGCCGGGGGACGGGACGGCCCGGCUCGGCGCAACCCGCAGUAGGCCCCAGAGCCGCCGAUUGGCGGGAAGGAUGAGGCGGGGCUGCGCCUGCGCGCUGCUUCGCGCCGUGAGCGGGUGGUACUGAAGGAGCAGUGAGAGAUGGAUGGGAGAAGGGGGCUUAGGGUGUGUAGUAAUAGUUGUUGUUGGGGGUGUGCUGUUGUACGAGUGAGGCCCCUUAGUGUGCUCAGCCCAGAGCUGAGCUCUGCCCUCUGUGACAGCGACAGGGCCCGAGGGAACGGCAUGGAGCUGUCAGGGGAGGGGCAGCUGGGGGUUAGGAAGUGGUUUAUGGUGCGUAUCAAUGCCCUUGGAGGUUGUGACUGGGUCAGUGGCAGGCAGUGGGUGCACGUGUUCCAUGAGGUGGACGCGGCUGCAAUCAGACUCCUGGUGGAGCAGGCAGUGC
rnacentral:lncRNA from 1 species